rnacentral:rRNA from 1 species
CCUACGGGUGGCAGCAGUGGGGAAUAUUGGGCAAUGGGCGAAAGCCUGACCCAGCAACGCCGCGUGAAGGAAGAAGGAGGGAGGGGUGUAAAAGGAGGGUGACAGGGAAGAGCAGAAGACGGUACCUGUCGAAUAAGCCACGGCUAACUACGUGCCAGCAGCCGCGGUAAUACGUAGGUGGCAAGCGUUGUCCGGAAUUACUGGGUGUAAAGGGAGCGCAGGCGGGAAGCCAAGUCAGCUGUGAAAACUACGGGCUUAACUUGUAGACUGCAGUUGAAACUGGUUUUCUUGAGUGAAGUAGAGGUUGGCGGAAUUCCGGGUGUAGCGGUGAAAUGCGUAGAUAUUCGGAGGAACACCGGUGGCGAAGGCGGCCAACUGGGCUUUAACUGACGCUGAGGCUCGAAAGUGUGGGGAGCAAACAGGAUUAGAUACCCCAGUAGUC